rnacentral:rRNA from 1 species
GAUGAACGCUAGCGGGAGGCCUAACACAUGCAAGCCGAGCGGUAUUGUUUCUUCGGAAAUGAGAGAGCGGCGUACGGGUGCGGAACACGUGUGCAACCUGCCUUUAUCUGGGGGAUAGCCUUUCGAAAGGAAGAUUAAUACUCCAUAAUAUAUUAAUUGGCAUCAAUUGAUAUUGAAAGCUCCGGCGGAUAGAGAUGGGCACGCGCAAGAUUGGCUAGUUGGUGAGGUAACGGCUCACCAAGGCGAUGAUCUUUAGGGGGCCUGAGAGGGUGAUCCCCCACACUGGUACUGAGACACGGACCAGACUCCUACGGGAGGCAGCAGUGAGGAAUAUUGGUCAAUGGGUGCAAGCCUGAACCAGCCAUCCCGCGUGAAGGAUUAAGGUCCUAUGGAUUGUAAACUUCUUUUGUAUAGGGAUAAACCUACCCUCGUGAGGGUAGCUGAAGGUACUAUACGAAUAAGCACCGGCUAACUCCGUGCCAGCCGCCGCCGUAACAC